UACGUAGGGACCGAGCGUUGUCCGGAUUCAUUGGGCGUAAAGAGCUCGUAGGCGGCUGUUCAAGUCGAACGUGAAAACUCGGAGCUCAACUCCGAGCCUGCGUUCGAUACUGGACGGCUAGAGUCUGGUAGGGGGAUCUGGAAUUCCUGGUGUAGCGGUGGAAUGCGCAGAUAUCAGGAGGAACACCGGUGGCGAAGGCGGUUCUCUGGGCCUUACCUGACGCUGAGGAGCGAAAGCGUGGGGAGCAAACAGG
rnacentral:rRNA from 1 species